rnacentral:lncRNA from 1 species
GGUACAUCUGGGAUAUGGUGCUUUAAUCACCACCACUCCUUUCUCUUUCAAUUCUUUCACUACCCACUCCUUCUUUUCGUACUUUACUUUUAUGCCCGGUCGGAGUGAGUCUUCUUUUGAUUCAAGAUGGAUUGUUUGUCCUUUAUCAACAUCUUCACUUAUAGGUACCUGUAAAACAUUGCAACUAUCAGUAUCAGUACCUGUUCUUUCUCCAGAUGCAACAUCUCUUCUGGACUUUUUAUGUCUAACUCUCUUCUUUAUUCUCACAUUAUUCUCUUUAGAGCCAUUAUACAACAGCACAUAUUCUUGAUCUCUUAACAUGAUCCUCCU